rnacentral:rRNA from 1 species
CCUACGGGGGGCAGCAGUGGGGAAUAUUGGACAAUGGGCGAAAGCCUGAUCCAGCCAUGCCGCGUGUGUGAAGAAGGCCUUCGGGUUGUAAAGCACUUUCAGUGGGGAAGAAAGCCUUGGGGCUAAUACCCUCGAGGAAGGACAUCACCCACAGAAGAAGCACCGGCUAACUCCGUGCCAGCAGCCGCGGUAAUACGGAGGGUGCGAGCGUUAAUCGGAAUUACUGGGCGUAAAGCGCGCGUAGGCGGUCUGAUAAGCCGGUUGUGAAAGCCCCGGGCUCAACCUGGGAACGGCAUCCGGAACUGGCAGGCUAGAGUGCAGGAGAGGGAGGUAGAAUUCCCGGUGUAGCGGUGAAAUGCGUAGAGAUCGGGAGGAAUACCAGUGGCGAAGGCGGCCUUCUGGACUGACACUGACGCUGAGGUGCGAAAGCGUGGGUAGCAAACAGGAUUAGAUACCUCAGUAGUC